rnacentral:rRNA from 1 species
ACUCCUACGGGAGGCAGCAGUAGGGAAUCUUCCACAAUGGGCGCAAGCCUGAUGGAGCAACACCGCGUGAGUGAAGAAGGGUUUCGGCUCGUAAAGCUCUGUUGUUAAAGAAGAACACGUAUGAGAGUAACUGUUCAUACGUUGACGGUAUUUAACCAGAAAGUCACGGCUAACUACGUGCCAGCAGCCGCGGUAAUACGUAGGUGGCAAGCGUUAUCCGGAUUUAUUGGGCGUAAAGAGAGUGCAGGCGGUUUUCUAAGUCUGAUGUGAAAGCCUUCGGCUUAACCGGGAGAAGUGCAUCGGAAAUUGGAUAACUUGAGUGCAGAAGAGGGUAGUGGAACUCCAUGUGUAGCGGUGGAAUGCGUAGAUAUAUGGAAGAACACCAGUGGCGAAGGCGGCUACCUGGUCUGCAACUGACGCUGAGACUCGAAAGCAUGGGUAGCGAACAGGAUUAGAUACCCUGGUAGGAUAGCG